AGCGAACGCUGGCGGCAGGCUUAACACAUGCAAGUCGAACGGCUCUUUCGGGGGCAGUGGCGGACGGGUGAGUAACGCGUGGGAACGUGCCCUAAGGUUCGGAACAACACAGGGAAACUUGUGCUAAUACCGGAUGUGCCCGUGAGGGGAAAGAUUUAUCGCCUUAGGAGCGGCCCGCGUCUGAUUAGCUAGUUGGUGGGGUAAAGGCCCACCAAGGCUACGAUCAGUAGCUGGUCUGAGAGGAUGGCCAGCCACACUGGGACUGAGACACGGCCCAGACUCCUACGGGAGGCAGCAGUGGGGAAUCUUGCGCAAUGGGCGGAAGCCUGACGCAGCCAUGCCGCGUGGAUGAUGAAGGUCUUAGGAUUGUAAAAUCCUUUCAGCGGGGACGAUAAUGACGGUACCCGCAGAAGAAGCCCCGGCUAACUUCGUGCCAGCCGCCGCAGUAACAC
rnacentral:rRNA from 1 species